CCUACGGGAGGCAGCAGUGGGGGAUCUUGCACAAUGGGGGAAACCCUGAUGCAGCGACGCCGCGUGUGGGACGAAGGUCCUCUGGAUUGUAAACCACUGUCCCCAGGGACGAAGAUGACGGUACCUGGGGAGGAAGCUCCGGCUAACUACGUGCCAGCAGCCGCGGUAAUACGUAGGGAGCGAGCGUUGUCCGGAAUUACUGGGUGUAAAGGGAGCGUAGGCGGGGAUGCAAGUUGGGUGUCAACACGACCGGCUCAACUGGUAGUCGCACUCAAAACUGCAGCUCUUGAGUGCAGUAGAGGCAGGCGGAAUUCCUAGUGUAGCGGUGAAAUGCGUAGAUAUUAGGAGGAACACCAGUGGCGAAGGCGGCCUGCUGGGCUUUUACUGACGCUGAGGCUCGAAAGUGUGGGGAGCAAACAGGAUUAGAUACCCGAGUAGUC
rnacentral:rRNA from 1 species